UGGCAGAUACAGGCACAUUUGCUUUGCUUUUUGGUUCAGGGUGCUUGAACACCCCCAGAGGAGGCAGGCUGAUGUUGUUUAGUGGGUGGAGGAGCAGCAGAGCCCCACAGCAAGGGCGCUUUCUGUUCUCACUUGCUGUUUACUUGCCAAUAUUUAUGUACACAGUUGUUGUUCUGGGACAAGCCAAGGUAUUUCAGUCUCUUGUGUGCCUUCACAUACACGUCACGUUGGUGAACAUAUGUGCUCCACCAUGACCACUUCCUCACUUCUAGUUAAGGCCUUCCAGACUAUCUUUUAUGGAGGGAAUGAAAGAAUUUUCUAGAGAACUGAUUUGAAUAAUGGAGUGAAUCAGAAACAAUCAUUUUAAAGUCACUUGGUCAUUUUAGGAAGUUGUUUAUGUUGACUGAAACAAAAAUUUCAAUUUUGCAGAGCACUGAGAGGAAGUAGCUUGGCAGAAUUUUCUUUGCAAGAUCAAUAAUUUAGUUAAAAGUGAAUAAUAACUUUAAAUUCAUGCAGUUCUUCUCUUUGAAGGUACAGAACCAAUAUUUCCUUAAUUGUCCUAUAAAUCAAAACUUUAGAGUUCCACUAGGUCUUAGAGGUACAGAGAGGGGAUAGCUGCUGUUUCUAGUCACAGAGUUUGUGCUUUUAUAUUCCUCACAGAUUGACACCGUCACUGAGUCACAGACUUCAAAAUAUUGAAAAAAUUAUUAGAUUUGUGUAUGAAACAGCCUGCCCGGUUUAUAAACAGAAGUAUAAAAGCUGGAGACUGAUGUAUGAGACCAUGAGCUUUGAGGAAGUGUUCUCUUCUGGGAUGCAGACGGCUGACUUCUUAGUCAUCACACUGAAGCUUUAAAGAGACUAGAGAGGUUGAAGGGAUGCUUUCAUGAGAACAUUCAUUCCUGCAGCUCCAUGCUUAAACCACACUACAAGGCCCUUCCUGAUAUCAUCAUCCCAGGGCGCAGGAGCUCAACAUGAAUCUGGGCGACACAAAUGUUGGGUGCACACCAGCUCCUCUCUGCUCUUAUCCUGGGUUAUUCUCCACUAGGUUCUUGUUUGUGAAAGGGCGAUACUAUUCCUUGAGCCUCUAUGGACUUAUGACAUGUGUUGCCCUCUUUUCCUGCCUUCUCUUUGACCUUCAUGAUAAUUAUUAAUUUAUACAGUUAUAAAUAUUAAUGGAUUCAGGGUGACAUUUCUAUACAUGCUUAUUGUCAUGCUUCAGUCAAUCUGCCCUUCUUACUUUUCCAUUCUCUUCCUCUCCCCUUUGAAUUCAUUCUGUUCACUGUUUUCACUAUAGUGUUUUUGUUUUAAGUCCUCUCCUUUACAUGAGAGAAAAAACAUGUCUUUCUGUAUCCAAUGUACUUCUCUUAACGAGAUGACCUCUGGUUUCAUGCAUUCUGCGUUUGCUCGUUACUGUGUAUUCCUGGCUCCCUUUCUUUCUUUGGUCUGUGCUCCUGUCUAAUCAGUCAUGGCUCUACUUCUCCAUAGUUUGUCCCUGUCUCCUCUUCAUCAACAUGCAGAUUCCUUGGGUGCAGAGACUGAUUUGUUCAGGUCUGUGUGCCCAGCAUCUAUCAGAGACCCUGGCAGAUAACAGGUGCUCCAUAAAGGUAUACGGAAUGGAAAAAAUGAAUUAUGAGAAGAUCUAUGGUCAAUUUUAAGUGCAUUGACGUUGGAUUAUGAGUGUGAGAGCCUAUCAUCACAAAAAAUUCCUGAAAGUGUUUUCUUCUUUAUGAGUUGUUCGUCGUUCACGUUGCUUUCUUAAACAGCUUUAAAUGCACUACACUUAUGAGCCUGAGAUUAUUCAACCCCCACCUCGAAAUGUGUGAACAGUGUUGACAGCUGGAGCCUUGUGAGUUUCCUUCCCUGUAUAACUAUCUUGGCUGAUGUUAACCAAUGCAUAAUGACAAGGGUGAGCCUGUGUGCACCUUGGCAAUAAUACUCAUAUUUGAGGUCCAGCAUCUGAACAAGGGGACGGGGAAUGAAAGUCUGAUAUACAGCUUUUGGUGUGGUAGAAAUGAAUCUGGAAACCUAAUAAAGUGGCUCAUUUAGAGUCAAUGAUUUAAAAUGAGAGGCAGAGUAGCUCCAGUGAGUGACUUGGAAGGCAGCAGAUCAGGACUUAAAUCAAAGGGCGGCCUUCACUCUUGUUCCCAACCCAGGCACCUGUCAGUUUUCACCUGCCUUCUUUCCCCCUGGCACAUGAUUGACAUCUAUUCAUUGGCGGUGUGGUAACUGCUCAUGUGUAGCCAUUCUAUCCUUCGCAGCAGGUUGCGAACUCCUCCAGAAUAGUGUACUGUCGAGGGGACAAUCUGUAAUGUAGUAAGUCUGUUAUGAACCUCCUUGUAUUUAGUGGAAGCACACAGAAAGUUUGUUAGCCAAUCCUUUCUAACACGGAAGGCAGAAGUAACUUUCAAGAGAUGGAGAAUGAAAAUAGUUCCAAAUCCUUGCCUUUAUUCUCUAAAAGGCAAAGGAAUUCAUCAAUUAUUUGACGUUUUCAUUAUCUCCCUUUUAGAUUCCCCAUAGUGCCAACUUACGGCAGAUUUUUCUUCUAUUGAAGGGUUACUAUGUCUGAAGAUAAAAUAAGUGAAAUACUGAAAUGUUUCUGUGACUCCUGGGUUUAAUAUUUGUAAAUAAUGUGUUGUGACUCAUUUCCCAGGAAAAACAAAUGCUUUAGCUUCAAAAGCUGUCUGUUAAAUGGAGAGACAGGUGUAUUGUGUUUACAAGGGAUAUGACAUUAUAAACUCAGCCAGAACAACCCAUCCAGAUGUGCAGUGAUCUGUAUCCAUGAACCCAGAGGAUGCUGUCACAAGCUUUAUGGGUAAUUUUUAUUUUUGAGUGUUCAGACACCUUAGCAGCCAACUGGAAUGGGGCCAAUAUCAGUGACAACACACAGAUGAAAAACCAUUAUCUAAUCAACUUCCAUCAAACCAGUCAGUGGUAAAUAGUGCUUCCUCGAAACACUUAUUACAGAUAACAUUUUGGUUGUUAAAUUUAUGAAGUGUAAAGUUACGUAACUUCUUUCUUGAAAAAGUCAAGACUGAAUUUUCAUACCCACGUCCACCCACAAACACAGUUCAGCAGGAGGAGCACUAAUAAGGUCAUUUGACAAAAAUAAAUCACACAAAUUGUAUUUAGCAAUUUUCAACAUUUACCGAGAAAGUCCAUACAGGGGGCAUGGCCUUGCCAAUUAUGAAAAAUGUUAUCCUGAAUAAUUAGCAGAAUGUGUUGACAAAAAAUGUCAGCAUGAGAGGAGGCAGCAUGCUUUAUCUACUGGUGUGUGAGAGAAACCUUUUUGAACCCAAAUUUUUGCUAAUUUAACAUGUUUUCAUAUUACUAUAAAUCGCUACUGCAAAUUUGUUAAAGACAUUGUGGUCUUAGAAGAAACUAUUUCUGUUCUAUAUCAUGAUAUGCAAUAUCAAUUAUUUGGGUGGUAGAAUGGCUAGUCUAUUCCUCUGUCUCAGAAUUAGGCAUUCCAUAAAAUGAGGAAAUCUUCACCCCACCCAAAUUCCCUUGUAGAUAUGCCUUGGAACUACCUCAGUCAUAGUCCUCUGUCCUUAUAUGUAUAAAAUUGAGUUUCCUAGGCUCUACCUCUUGCCGGUCCCAUUGACUCUUGUUUGAGAAACCUAGUCUCCUAAUACACACAGUAAUGAUGACACUGAUGGGCAAUUUGGCUGCUUAGCUGCUCUAGGAAUCUACUAUUACAUGGGUGCCUUUGAAUACACAUACAAGAAGAAUUCCUGAACAGAAUACACGAUGGAAUAUUGAAUGUUAUAUAAAUGACCAUUAUUUUAAUGUUACAGUGUAGCAUCUCCCUUUGACUUAAUAGAUAUCAGAAUCAAAAGGAGUUUUGAGGUAUACAGAGUUGGUGCCUGCCUCCAUCAUUUGUGUGAUAGAAAGUCUUCAUGGGUUAUCAGCAGCAACCUAAAUCAAAUGUACAAGAUUAGUUCCUAAGUUGGGAAACUCCUUUUCUUUCAUUGCAGUAUUUAACCCUGACUGUGGACCUAGCGUGUUUCCCAUGCCUCCACUGGGCAUCUCUGCUGCUGCCUCCUCCUCUACUAGAGUUCAUUUAGUUUCCUUCACUUCUUUAAAUGGAAACUUCUUAUAUCACAUCUUUAUUUGCUUCUUUCUAGUCCACCGUUAUCCUUCCUCACUGCUCCAUUGUAUUUAUGCCAAAUAGUUCUCAAGAUCAUUUUCUCUCUCUUGAAAUACUGAAACACAUUCUCCUAUCCAUACACUCAUCCAUCCAUCUUUCCAUCCAUCCAACCCUCCAUCCAUUAAUCUACCCACCUCUUCCUCCAUCCAUCCACUCACCCACCCAUUCAUCCCUCUAUCCAUCCAUCCACCCACCUACCCAUCAUUCAAACACCCACAAAAUUCCCAUCCAUUCAUGAAGCCAUCUACCCAUGCAUGCAUGCAUCCACCCAUCCAUCCAUCCAUCCAUCUGUCUUUCUGUCCAUCUAUUCAUGCAUGUUUUGUGUGCUUUAUAGUUUAUUCAACACAUGGAAACCACACAAACAUUUUCCUAUGAAUUGUCUUUCUUUUCAUUCCUGUGAAUUGCAGCAUAAUUAUCAUGGUACUUGGGAUCCAAAACUUGAACUUCAUAUUGAAUUUACCUUCACUGCAACAUCUGAUUAAUUAAGUUCUGUCAUCUUUUUUCUUA